AAAGGCUGGCUUGAUGCCCGGCCUCAUGUGUUUUAAGGGCCGGUACAGGAGCCCUGGGAGGGGGGACAGGUGUGGACAAAGAGCAGAGACUUUGAAAAAGAGAGAUGUCUCUUUCUUAUUUCUGUUAGCUUAGAGUUUAACUAAUUAAAAUUCAUUCUUAAAGCUAUUUGGGCUUAAUGAGGUUCCACCUUCCAUGCCUCAGUUUCCCCAACUAAAAGACUCUCAAAGUGUCAAAGGGCCCUCAGAGGACCUUCCCGGGUCCAUCUUCUCCACGCCUCCACCCACAGCACAGACUGCCCUCACCCCUGCUGAACAGAUGGAAAACAAAUGGGAGAGACCCCAACCCUCCCAGAGAUGAGGGAGUGCCUUCUCCUUCUGGGUGGACUUGACUUUCCAUGGUUUCAACGGCAAGGACAGCAGCCAGUGUUCAACAAACGUCCAUGGAGUGAAAGGCCACUAUGCUAUGCCAGUCCUUAUAUUGAAAGAGUGGUCCUAGUACCAUUUGUGCUCUUCAGGAUAUAUGCCUCUAAGUACACAAGGCAUCAACACUAAAGGGGCAGGGAUUCACCAAGGGCGAGGUGACAAAAUGAAGCUCUGAGUCAUGAGACACCCUUCCUCUCUGCUCUGCAUGGAAGCACUCUUGGACUGAAGAUGGGUGACUAUUUCACAGAGAGAAGAAGGUCAUUGAAGAUGAAGCAGAGAUUGGAUUGAUGCAUCUACAAGCCAAGGAAUACCAAGGAUUGCCAGCAACCCCUAGAAGCUAGGAGAGAGUCUUGACAUGGAUUCUCCUUCAGAGCCUCUAGAAGGAUCCAAUGCUGCUGACAUCUUGAUUUCAGACUACUGACCUCCAGAACUAUAGGAGAAUAAACUCCUGUUGUCUCA